UUUGUGUACAGGAUUUUGUGUUAACAUAAAUUUCCAUUUCUCUUGGGUAAAAACCUAGGGACAGCUAGGUCAUAUAUAGAGUAAGUGUGUGUUUAACUUUAUAAGAAACUGUCUGAUUUCUUUUCCAAAUGGUUGUACUAUUUUGUGUUCCCAAACAGUAAUGGAGCAAAUUUCUUUUGCUUUGCAUUCUCACCAGCAUUUGGUAUUUGAAGCAUAAUCUUAACACAUCACUAUCAAUCAACACAUCACUCACAAUCAACUAUAAAAUACAGAGAUAUGGACAAUAUAAUUACAACACAGCUAAGGCUGAAUUGAUAAAUAUUUCAUGUCAAAAUUUGCAGAUGAUAGUAAAACCAUCUUCAUUUCAACAAUCUGUGGAGUAUAUAAAAAUAGAUCAUAAUCUAGUUCAAAAAACUUAAAUACAUUUCCCACAUAGACUUGAAUACAGUGUAGAAACUUUACCACACUGUAAUAAAUAUUGAUAUUAAUAACGCACGUUUAAACAGCAAAAAAAAAAAAAAAAUCAUAUAGAAGUGACAAAACACUUUCCAAAAUAAUUACUGCUCUAAAUCAAAUAGGAAUUUUAAAAUUUAACUAAAGACUGUAAAAAAUAAAAAUAAGAGGCCCGUUCAACUACAGACUCGUAGGUUGAAAUGUUUCAUCAUUACACACACACACACACACACACCAAAAAACAUUUCCCUUAUUAAGAGGAAAAAAGAAUUCCCAAGGAAAACAUAUGAAGGAAAUGAAAAUAACCAGAAAUUGUGACUGUUUACUGUUCCUUUUCCCAGUCAACGAAGCUCUUAGAGCACAGGGUCAUAUUCCCAUGUCUACGGGUGAAUAGUGUGCCUGGCUCACAGUAUGAGCUCAAUAUUUAGCAACUUUUAACUUUCCUAAAGGUAGGCCUUUUCUCCUUUGGGCUUCCACAGUAGGCUGCUAUCUUAGAGUUUAUUAAAGUAUUGGAACCACAUACGUUUUCCACAUCAAAAAAGUCCCCUAAAAACAAAUAUUUGUUUACCACUCAGAAUGUGCCCGGCGAUUGGCAUUAAUCCCCUUAAUCAUUACAACUUUUUUUGGAUAUUCUUUUUCAGAAACUGAGGGUCAGAAAGGUUAAGUGACCAAGGUCAUAGAGGAACUCAUCACACUAUCCAGAUUUGGUUGCAACCAUUCUCCUUUCCCCCACACAAGCUCUUUCUACCGGAAAAGGUUACAGUGAAUUCAGGGGCAAGGUUCGUUUGCCACCUUUGUAGCCACAGCUCCGAACCUAGUUACUGGCACAGAGUAUCCCAGACAAUUAGGCAUUACUUGCGUCCUGUUGUUCGUCAAGUUUUCUUUUGUGGGCCAUUGAGAGACGCGCUAAUUACCAGCCCGCCACCGAGGCCUGGAAAGAAAUCGGGAAUAAUUUAGGACUCUCCUAGCCUCCCAGCUCCAUGGUUGGCUUGUAACCACUCUAUAUUCUGGAGGACUCAGCGAGCACGGCCAAUCAUUAGGCCACUUUCCAGGCACGUGGCCAGAAGUUUGACUUGCUAUUGGUUACUAACAGCAGGGCCCGCCCAAGCACCCUGCCUGCUUCUUUAAGUAGAAGCCGUGGGCGCGUCUCCGUCUUUCGGCGGCUGUAAGCUUGCGAGGUCCGGCCGGCCGAGAACGUCGGAUCCAUUGCCCUCCCAGCGCUUCGACCCUUCCCUGGAGGCUCUCAAUAAAACAGAUUGUUCCUAC